AACCCCGAAGAUGAACCCCGAUAUGAAUGACAACCGUCAUAAAUGAACCCCGAAGAUGAACCCCAAGUGAAUAACAAUCACCACGCACACUCUGAACAAACGGGUACUCACACCAAAACAAAGAAAAGGGUGAACACACACACACACAAAAAAACAAAAGGGUGAACAAACAGAGACUCAACAAAAAAGGGUGAACAAAC
rnacentral:lncRNA from 1 species